rnacentral:rRNA from 1 species
GACAGAGGGUGCAAACGUUGUUCGGAAUUACUGGGCGUAAAGCGCGUGUAGGCGGCUAAGUAAGUCGGGCGUGAAAUCCCACGGCUCAACCGUGGAAGUGCACUCGAAACUGCGUAGCUAGAGUCCUGGAGAGGAAGGUGGAAUGCUUGGUGUAGAGGUGAAAUUCGUAGAUAUCAAGCGGAACACCGGUGGCGAAGGCGGCCUUCCGGACAGUGACUGACGCUGAGACGCGAAAGCGUGGGGAGCAAACAGG